GGUUGUGUGACUGUACAUCAUUCCCUUCAAAUGCUACUGAGCUUUAAAUUAUGGCUAUUUUGUGUAUGACCCCAUUCUAUAGUGAAAUACAUAUCUAAUUUACAUAUGAAUUAAUAGCUUACUUUGUUAAAUAUCAAAAAUCUAAGAGGUGUGCAUUAUAGCUGACACCUAGAUGAACACUUUCCAGUUGGUUGUGUGACUGUACAUCAUUCCCUUCAAAUGCUAUUGAAGUUAGAAACGUGUAUAACAAUGUCGUAUGUAACUUUAGAGACGGUCCCUUAAUUUCCGCAUAUCCGCGAAUAUCGACCAUCCAACGUCAAACCAAUUUUAUGCCAGUAUGUUUUGUUGCUAUGGCCAGUGGUUACCAUGACAGGCAGAGCCACCGGUUUAACUGCUUGCUAUCAGAAGUUCUUUAUUUACACAGGACUGUUUUGGAACAGAAUGCAGGUCGCUCAGCUGUUCAAGGGACGUCACUGUCUCUCUUACUGCGCAUGCGCGAAAAUUGCGCGCAUGCGUCGUUUACAUCAUGCGCGGCUGAUCCGGUAGUGAUCGGCCUUGUCUCAAAAACACUACGCAUUAGACGUACAUCCUAGGUAAUCGUGGAAGCCAUUAUUCCGCGCCCUAUAUAUUGCACUUAUAUAGAUAGUAGGGUGUUGUUUGAGAUUUAGCCCACUUCACUUAGUGGAGCUGCUGCAACUGUCUGUAACAGCAACAACGCACAUAGGUUCAGAGGCCAGAUCGCUUUGUGGUGCUUGUAGACACAACACAUCGCUUGAUUCGUGUCUUCACAACGUCGGUUGACAACCCACUUGACUUAAUCAAUGCACAGACAAAUAUCGGUAUCUUCUGCCUUUAAUUCCCACUGCCCUGGAACAGCUACAGGCCACCUGGAUCUCCACCAAGCUGCAUGUCUGCAGUACAUACAUCCUAGUACAAACCCAAUUCCAAAAAGGUUGGGACGCUGUGUAAAAUGUAACUAAACAGAAUGCAGUGAUUUGCAAAUCUCAUAAAUCCAUGUUAUUCGUAGAAUAUAGAAAGCAUCAAAUGUUUAAACUGAGGGACUGUACCAUUUUAAGGAAAAAAUAAGGUAAUUUUGAAUUUGAUGGCCGCAACAUGUCUCAAAAAAGUUGGGACGGGGGCAACAAAAAGUAAGCGUUACUAAAAAAGAAACAGCUAGAGGAACAUUUUGCAACUAAUGAGGUUAAUUGGCAACAGGUCAGUAACAUGACUGGGUAUAAAAAGAGUAUCUUAGAGAGGUAAAGAUGGGAUGAAAUCUGGAUGGAAGCUCUAAAACGUGUAUAUACCUUUCAGCAUUGAUGGUGCCUUUCCAGAUGUGCAAGCUGCCCAUUCCAUAGGCACUAAUGCACCCCCAUACCAUCAGAGAUGCAGGCUUUUGAACUGAGCGCUGAUAAAAGCCGGAUGGUCCCUCUCCUCUUUAGUCCGCUUUAGUUUAGAGGACGCGGAGUCCAUGAUUUCCAAAACGAAUUUCAAAUUUGGAUUUGUCUGACCACAGAACAGUUUUCCACUUUUCUUCAGUCCAUUUUAAAUGAGCUUUGGCCCAGAGAAGAUGGCGGUGUUUCUGGAUCAUGUUUACAUAUGGUUUCUUCCUUGCAUGAUCAAGCUUUAACCAGCCUUUGUGGAUGGCAUGGUGAACUGUGUUCACAGAGAAUGAGUUCUGGAGGUGUUUCUAAGCCCAUGCAGUGAUUUCCAUUACAGAAUCAUGCCUGUUUUUAAUGCAGUGCCACCUGAAGGCAACAGGCAUGCAAUAUUAAUUUUCACCCUUGUUCCUUGCCCACAGAGAUUUCUCCAGAUUGUCUGAAUCUUUUGAUGAUAUUGUGUAAUGUAGAUGAUGAGAUAUUCAUAGUCUAAACAAUUUUACGUUGAGGAACAUUAUUCUGAAAUUGUUCCACAAAUUGUAGACUCAGUUUUUUGCAGAUUAGUGAACCUCUGCCCAUCUUUAUUCUGAGAGACUCUGCCUCUAAGAUACUCUUCUUCUUUUUUUUCAUACAUAAUCAUGUUACUGACCUGUUGCCAAUUAACCUCCAGGUGUUUCUUUUUAGUAACACUUACUUUUCCAGCCUUUUGUUUCCCUGUCUCAACUUUUUUGAGAUGUCUUGCAGCCAUCAAAUUCAAAAGUACACUGUAAAAACUGAGACUGGGUUUAAUUAAUAUUUAUUAAAUAAAUGAUAGUAACCUAUACAUAAUAAAAAAGACUUUAUGCAGUUUUGAAUCACAUUGAGUGGAAUUAAACAAAUGGUCGUUAAUUAAUGGUCGACUAAAUGUCACAAUUUCAUGUGACUUCUCCCCCAAGUCUUACACCGUAGGCUGUAUAGCCUAAUGCCCCCAUCUCUUAUCUAUUUUUACCAAUUUUCGGGAGAAAGGUCAGAAUGUUUUGUGUCUUUUUAUCUUUUGGAACAAAGUGCGCUAUUUCCUCUUUUUUAUUUGGCUUUAUUUUCAUCGGCGGUCUGUUGUUGUGUUUUGUGUGGUGCUGUGCUAAUGUUAAUCCCAGUUUCACUGAGGUUCUCUCAGCUCCGUAGCUUACGCUUCAUGUCUCCAUUCAUGGUACAAUGAGGCCACAGCAAGAGAUUCAGAUGGUAUAACCGCCCUUUUCAGUCUUUCUCUGUCGCCUUGUAGGAGAAUGCUUUCAAACAGUGGAUUUACACUGAACUGUGUUUGUGGAAGUUGGUCUGAGUCUUGUCCAGCUGGCAGAGAUGGAGGCAAAGCUCUGAGUAAUAGUUGAUGACCGAAUUGAGAAGUUGGUCCUUCCAUCAGGAAUCCCAUCCACUGUGGAGGAACUUCACACUGUUGUGGAGGAGACCUUUGGAAUUUCUGAUGAGUUCAGUCUCCAGUAUUUGGACUCAGAAUUUGAAGAUUACUUUACUCUUCAUAAAAGUGACCAAAUUAAACACAAAGACACCGUAAAGGUUGUUCACACUGCCCCGAUUCUUCUUAACUUGCUUCCUCUUGAUGAAAGUUUGGAUCAAAGGUCCUUUGGUCAAAAGUCAACUGAGUGAGUCUGCAUCAAAUGCAGAGUCAUCUGCUGGAACAUCGUCUUCACAGGACACCAUUAUUCUGCCUAGGCGAAAUACCACAGAACGAUGCCAGCCAUGGCCAAAGCAGUUCCCUAUUCCACAGUUUGCAUAUGAAACUGGGAUGUACUUUGAAAGAGCCACUGAAGAAUACAAGAAGAACGGAACACUUCUGACUACCUCAAAGGUCAAGUUAGACAUAAUUGAGAAGCUGUCUGAAACUAUAUACACAUUUACAGCUUAUCCAUCAAGUGCACAUAUAAGUGAUGCUGAGUUUGCAUUUUCAAUUCCGCUUUCCCUGAUGUGAUCCAUUUGGCUUUUCUAAUUCAUUCAACUCAUGAUUAAGAGCAGUUGACGGUUAAGGAUGUUGGUCAUCGACCCAUUUCUAGGAGUUUGGUUUCUUAAUCUUAUUACUAAUCUUAUUGUGUUGUACAUUCUAUGGACUUAAAAUGUGAAUUUAAGAAAGAUAAUUAUAAGCUGAAUGUCAUAAUGUGGUUGUGGUAUGUGUUAUUAAUGAAUGAAAAUGAGAGCACCACUAAUAUCAAAGUGUAGAGUGGUGGGAAAAGGUAGGCUUUCAGUAGUUAGUGAUUAGUGUGAGACCCGUGAAGGUGAAAUUUUUAGUAGUUGAGGUACUUCUGAAGAAAGAGAAUGGCAAAUUUUCUGUCAUUGCUGCUAUAAACAGUAUUGGCUAAACCAGGAAAAUAUUUCUGCAGCCAUACUGUUAACAUGCUGUCUAUGUAAAUACAUAUGUGAGUAUAAUUAUAUUCUGGAUUUUGUACACACUAUACUGUAUAUACAUUUAAGAUGCAAAUUUUAAUAAAGACUACUGAGUGACUCUAAGUAGCUGAAUAAUGAUAUGUUACCAAAAGAGAAAAGAAGGGUCUGGAAGAGUACUGAGUGAGGAUGAUGAUAAUCAGAAACCCUGAAGUAUGACGACGGCCUGAGAACAUGCAAAAGUGAUAAGACUACUCGAGCAAGAGAUUUUCAAAUGUCUUUUUUUAUAUAUAUUUGCAUCCACUGCAUACUUUAAAUAAACCUGUAUUUUUCUCCUUAUUAUCUGUAUUUUCUUCACCUGUCUUGCUGUUGCUGUGACACCCAAAUUUCUCCAACUGGGGAUUAAUAAAGUAUUAUCUUAUCUUAUCUCAAG